GAAUAAAAGCAGGCUGCCCGAGUCAGCAGCCGCCACCCAGUGCGGUCACCUUACACGUUGUGAGAGAUUUGUUUUUUCACUUUUUGCAGUAAAUCUUGCUGCUGCUCACUCUUUGCGUCUGCACUGCCUUUAUGAGUUGUGACACUCGCUGCGAAGGUCUGCAGCUUCACUCCUGAUGCCAGCAAGACCACAAGCCCACUAGGAGGACCGAACAGCACCAGCUCCAGACGCGCCCCAGCCCCAGACGCGCCUUUGAAGGUCUGCAGCUUCACUGCUGAAGCCAGCGAGACCACGAACCCACCAGAAGGAAGAAACUCUGAACACGUCUGAACAUCACCAGGAGCAAACUCCGGACACACCACUUUUAAGAACUGGAACACUCACGGCGAGGAUCCGCGGCUUCAUGUUUGAAGUCAGUGAGACCAAGAACCCACAAAUUCCGGACACGCUAUUUCGGAUUAUAACUACACAUUUCAGUUGAAAUGUUGGUAGAUUAAUUGUACUUCCAUUUUUAUACGCUUUAAUUUUGAACUGACAAUAUUUACAUUGAGGCAAUGCAAAGGAAAAGAGAAAGCAUCCUUGUCAUAUUAGAGAAAACUUCGAACAGUUAAAAUUUUAUGGAACGUUGGAGGCAGACAUAGACACAAAGAAAAUGUCAAGCGGAAAUAAAGGCAGACAUCAGGGUGAUGCUUCUACAAGCCAAGAACACCAAGAUUUGCCAGCAAACCACCAGAAGCACCAGUGAACUAAUACGGAAACUGGAUGCAGGGCAGCAAAAUAGAUACAAGCUUUCAGAAUAAAUCAGCUUUUUAAAUCUUCAUCCAAAAAUGGUGUAAUGGGAUGUGCCAAUUGGCCUCCAGCCAAGAAGUGGAGCUUGCCAAAAAGCACCAGCUAUGUUGGUAACAGUGGAAUUUGUGCCUGCCUUAUUUUACCCAAGGUUGCUACUAGAGGAAGCGAAUAUGCAAAGAAGGAAGAUUUUUAAAGUAUCCUCUCAUUCAUUAAUUCCGGUUUCUUAGAAGAGUAUAAAAGAAGACAAGUGGAAAUUUACUGGCAAAAAUAAAGUGUACUAAACUUCAUUGACCUCAUGGGAAGCAACGGUGCUUUUCCAAUCUUCCACUUUCAAGAUUCUAAGAAAUCAUGUCCAAUUUAAUUAUAGGAAAGAGAUUUAAAAAAAAAACCAUUAAGAUUGGGAGUUUCAUUGAAGGGGAGGUUCAUUAAAAAAUCCAGAUUAAUGUGAAAAUAAUUCACCAAUUCAAUUACCUGGGAAAACAAAGAUGGGAGCUUCUAGUGUUAUUGAUGACAAUAAUGGAAAAGAGAAAGGGAACAAAGAGUUCAAUUGAGUGUAUGUGAAGAGACAAAGCUGUGCUUAAAUGAAAGCAAAGGUCAGAUGCCAGGUUUUCCUAAAGACAUAGAGAUUUUCUAAAGUAUUUACUGGAAGAGAAACUCAACCCAGAAGGGUAAGCUAACAUCUUUCAUGAAAGCGAAGCAACUAUUAAUCCAAGGUUAUGCAACUCUAUAAAAUAUAUUAAAUAGUCUAUGAAGCAGUACAUUUUGUUUGUGAUUUGUGAGUUAAUGAACUAUAACAAGUUUCUCUUCACUACAUUUUAUUCUCAUUUAUCAAGUUUAAAUUUUACUCAGGGGACUAACUAUUAUAGGUAACAUCUAGUACUGUGGUACUUUUACUCUGGAAGCUAUAAGUAACUGCAGGGACAAAUGCAAACAAAAAAAUUCAUAAGCACUUCUGUUUAAUGGGAAGCAAACAUUUAUAGUUUAUAUGCCCAAAAGUCCAUCUCAUGAGAAUAAAGUAACCAGAAUUUAAAAUUAUAACCCAAUUAAUUUAGUAGCUUCAUAUAAGCUCACACUAUUUGAUCAUAAUUUAUUAUACCAAUCUUCUAUUUGAAGUCAUUUAUUUGUUAAUAAUAUAUAUUUAUAUGUUACAAAAUAAUAUGUCUUUGAGAAUAUGUAUUUUUUUGUACAAUUUAAAGCAAUUUCCUCAUCAAAAAUUUGUGGAAAUAAAAAAGCUGAGUCAAAAAAUAAAGUUUUAUUAUAAGUAAAAUAAUAAAAUGUUCUCUAACAAUAAAAUUAACAUUUGUUCUAAUUAUCUGCUAACUAGGCAGGGGCGCGGUGGCUCACACCUGUAAUCCCAGGACUUUGGGAGGCCGAGGCAGGUUGAUCACUUGACGUAAGGACUUUGAGACCAGCCUGGCCAAUGUGGUGAAACCCUAUCUCUACUAAAAAUACAAAAAAAAAUAGCCAGGUGUGGUUUCACAUGCCUGUAGUCCCAGCUACUGGGGAGGCUGUCGCAGGAGAAUCAUUUGAACCCAGGAGGAGACAGAGGUUGGGGUGAGCUGAGAUCACGCCACUGGAGUCCAGCCUGGGCAACAGGGUGGGACUCCAUCUCAAAAAAAAAAAAAAUUAUCUGCCAACUAUAAACCAGAUAUUUUCAAUAGAAAUUUCUACAAAGAUUGGAAUGCUCUAGAUCUUCCCUUUCCAAUAUGUUAUCAUAUAUCGCUAAUGAACACUGAAAACAUAACUAAUGUGACAAAGAAACUAAAUUUUCAGUUUUAUUUAAUAUUAUUUAGUUUAAAUUUAAAUAGCCAUAUAUGGCUAGUGGUGACUUUAUUUGAUUGCACAGACAGACAAAUAGAAACUUGUUUUGUAAUUUACAUUUUUGGAUACUGUGAAGGUUUAUUGUCUUUAAUAAAUUAAUUGAUCAAAUGU